CAGAUCUCCUCCGGGAGUGGUGGGCAGCAACUGUGAAAGGCCUGGUUCAAAAACCUCACAGCGGUUGUUUGCAGAGUUGUCCCUCCUGUGUACUCUCAAAGCCCCAGAAUGAAGCAAAGCAUCCUCCCUUUUCAAACUGGCACUCUUCCCAACCUUGAGGACCACUAGGCACUUUGAUUUUAAAGCCACAGUUACUUUUAUGGAGAAGUAUUGUUAUGAAAAAAGGGAGGCAUCUGAGGAGCAGAAACAGAGAAAUGAGUGACUGAGAUCAGUGUCUUAUUUUGACCAUCUUUUCCAAGUGCUGCAUCCUCCCAAACACAACAUGAACUCAACACUUAAUAAAGCUGCAGUCCUACGUG
rnacentral:antisense_RNA from 1 species